AAAUUUGUACAACAUCACCUAUUCUUUGUGUCCUCUGCAAGAAGGAUGCAAACAGAGAAGCCCUUUGUCUACAUCUACAUCAUCUACAUCUACAUCAAGCUGGCUGAGGUUUUGAGCCAAGAAGAUCAAAACACCUUGAUCCAAUUUCCUUUACAAAGGUUUUCCUGUGGUGACAACAGGACAGGAGAAGUUGUAAAUGCGGAUAAUUUACCAGUUGACUCU